UGUUGUUUUGUUAAGCAGUUAACAAGAGCGGCUUCUUAUCACGUGUUUAGAAGAAUGAUCUAUUGCUCAAGAAUGCAUAAUAGAUCUUGUUAAGUUUCGUAUCUGAUUCGUAUUUGUUAUUUGUAUGUGUUUUGUUUUAUUCGGAUCGAUUAUAAUAAUAAUAAUGUUUAUACAAGUUAACAUGCAAUUUUCUUUGUCCUAUGUAAAAAUAUUUGAUUUAAGGUUAUGUUCUUUUUUCGAGUUCAUAACUUGAUAAAUGAAUAUUCUCCGAUUCAAUCGAAUCAUGAAAUCAUUAAUUUUCUACGUUAUCAGAGAUUGGAGAUUUACUACAUUGAAGUAAAUUUCAAGAAAAAGUUGAGCGAGUAGGUUCACUUUGUCCUGGUCCAAUAUCAAAACUUCGUUAUCUGGUAUAAUGAAGAUGAUAUGUCCACAAAGAGAUCUCUGCCGUAAAUCAGACUGCGGCGGCUUGAUCUAGUACGAAAACAGAUGAAUGAUGAAAACUGGUGAUCGUCAAUCAAAAAUUUCAUAUUAUUUGUAAUAGACAUGCCUCGUACUGAUCUGAUACAACGUCGGCGGAGCAUCUAAAAAAGAGAACAGAUCAACAUGAGUACUGAAUUAAUGUCGACAGUUGAAUUUAAUUCCUUCAUGGUAUUAUUCAAAUCUAACAUAAUGCUGUACCAUCGAUGACAUUGAAGAUGAAGAGAAGUUUGAAGAGGGACAAGCCUUUGUCAGAAGGAUCAUUAACAACAUAUCCGAGUAAAGGUGACCGAAAGAAAGAAAUAGAAACAAAAGAAAAUGAAGAGAAACUAGGAAAGAUGAAAUGAGAAUCGAAUUAAUUCGACAGUUUAUUACAUUCAGUGUGCCGGUAUAGAAAUAUUAUACAAAUUCGAAGAUGUUCGAACGAAUUACGAAACGUUAAAACUA